rnacentral:rRNA from 1 species
AGAGUUUGAUCAUGGCUCAGAACGAACGCUGGCGGCGUGUUUAAGACAUGCAAGUCGCACGGGGCAGGUUGAGUAGCAAUACGAGAUCUGUUCAGUGGCGCACGGGUGAGUAACACGUGAAUCACAUGCCCUUCAGUGGGGGAUAGCCCAGGGAAACUUGGAUUAAUACCCCAUGGUCUCGCAAGAGUAAAAGCGGCCGCAAGGCUGUCGCUGGAGGAUUGGUUCGCGCCCUAUCAGCUUGUUGGCGGGGUAACGGCCCACCAAGGCUACGACGGGUACCUGGUCUGAGAGGACGAUCAGGCACACUGGAACUGAGACACGGUCCAGACACCUACGGGUGGCAGCAGUCGAGAAUAAUUCACAAUGGGGGCAACCCUGAUGGUGCAACGCCGCGUGGAGGAUGACGGUCUUCGGAUUGUAAACUCCUGUCAUCCGGGAGUAAGACCUGGCCGUUAAUAGCGGACAGGGUUGAUAGUACCGGAAGAGGAAGGGACGGCUAACUUCGUGCCAGCAGCCGCGGUAAUACGAAGGUCCCGAGCGUUGUUCGGAAUCACUGGGCGUAAAGGGAGCGUAGGCGGCGUGGCAAGUCAGACGUGAAAUCCCGGGGCUCAACCCCGGAACUGCGUCCGAUACUGCCGCGCUUAGAGGAUUGGAGAGGUAGCUGGAAUUCUUGGUGUAGCAGUGAAAUGCGUGGAUAUCAAGAGGAACACUCGU